CCAACUACAGGCUAAUUCAGAUAUUCUGAAGUUCAUCUUCCUAAGUGCCUUAAAGGUACUCUGGCUGAAGAUGUUUUCAAGCUUCGAUGGAUUAACUUGGAUUCAACCUUCGGUGACUUCACAGCUUCUGACAUCUAGCAAUUAUUCUUCAAGAUCACAGGUACCAAGGCAGGGAUGUGGAAACUACAAAGGAAGAAACCAGUGAGGCAGUUAGGGAUGCUGUACUGCAAACAUCUCGACAGGCUUGAUUUGAGGCACAGUGGCUCAUGCCUUUAAUUCCAGCACUUGAGGCAGA
rnacentral:lncRNA from 1 species